UCCGAGUGUGAGCAUCAUGGGUGAGCACGACAAAGCCAGCUCUGCCCACGUGAACCUGCACGGGACAUAGAAACGCUCUGUCCCUCGGGUCCCCAGUCUCUGAGAACUGGGCCCUUGGACCUCAUUCAUCGUCAAUGAGACAGUGCGAGUCCAGAGAUGCUGCGAGCUGUGUCUGGGGCACAGAAGGGAGAUGCGGUUGUCACUCCUGCAGGGUCAUGGCAGGCUCUCAGCAAGGCGGCAGCUCUCUCCUCGCUUUCACUCCUGUCCAUUUACAUUGGAGGAAAAUUAAAAAGAAAUGAAAUGCACUUAAGAGAAUGCCUUGAGGAGUUGCCAGGCCACCCAGCAUAAAAAACACUGCCAUGAACAUCCUUAAUUAGAAAUCUUUAAUCACUCUUGUGGCGAGUUAAGUUCCAAAUGGGGAAGAAGGAAAACCCAAGCCCACAUUGGACAUAAGUUGCAUGUACGUGACAAUAAAGCUCUUUGAACAGAGCCGAGAACCUGGUGCC